ACGUUGAAUCCCGUACGAUCACCGAAGUUAAGCAACGUCGGACCUGGUCAGUACCUAGAUGAGUAACUGCUUGGGAAUACCAAGCGCUGUAA